UGAGGCAGGAGAACUGCUUAGAACCUGAGAGGCGGAGGUUGUAGUGAGCCAAGAUCGUGCCACCGCACUCCAGCCUGGCAAUAGAGUGAAACUCUGUCUCAAAAAAAAAAAAAAAAAAAAAAAAAAGCAUGUAGGAGAUUGACCUGGGUCAAUUCUUUUUUCUUUUUGUCCCCUUUCCUCAGGUGUUCUGAAGGUUGGAAAUACGACUCUACCAUUACCUAACAGUUAUUUCUUCUUCUUUCCUAGUUAAUAGAACCUGAUUUCAUUUGGGCCACAACAUGUACAAAGAAGGAAUACGUGUCCCCAGGCCUCAGAGAAAAGUCAUGAUUGGUUGAAGCCUAGCCCAUUCCCCUGCUAGGGAUUGCUUCUGAACUCAGCAUAGGGCCAAUUAUGGCCAAUGAGAUGGAAAAGUCUGGAAGCAGGCUUUUGGAAAGAUUCUUGUAGCCUAGUUAAAAUCCCAGAGAGGAAAAAGCCUUGUGUUGACAAGCUUAAGAGUGAAAAACC
rnacentral:antisense_RNA from 1 species